AGCUGGGGCAAGCGAGAUACCUGCGCACCAGGGAAAUCCGGUGCGCGCAAGGGGAAGGCGCGAAGCAUACGGAAAGCUGCGGCAAGUACGGAAAAGCUGAGAGCAGGCUUCCAGGAAAAGCUUCUAGCACAACACGCAUCGGCCCGUACCGAAAAUGGACACACAUGGGCAAGGAGAGAAUCCUGAGGUGAGCGAGAGAACUAUAGCUAAGGAACUCUGCAAAAUGACCCCGUAACUUAGGGAGAAGGGGUGCUCCAGAAAUGGAGCCGCAGUAAGACGGCCCAAGCGACUGUUUACCAAAAACACAGCUCUCUGCGAAGGCGCAAGCCGAAGUAUAGGGGGUGACGCCUGCCCGGUGCUGGAAGGUCAAGGGGAGCUGUCAGCGCAAGCGAAGCAGCGAGCCGAAGCCCCAGUAAACGGCGGCCGUAACAAUAACGGUCCUAAGGUAGCGAAAUUCCUUGUCGGGCAAGUUCCGACCCGCACGAAAGGCGUAACGAUUUGGGCGCUGUCUCAGCUGUAGACUCGGUGAAGUCUUAGUACCUGUGAAGAUGCAGGUUGCCCGCGACUAGACGGAAAGACCCCAUGGAGCUUCACUGCAGGUUGACAUUGGGCUUGGAUGCAUGAUGUACAGGAUAGGUGGGAGGCUGUGAGCCGUGCGCGCCAGCGUACGGGGAGCCGCUGUUGGGAUACCACCCUUCAUGCAUCUAGGUCCUAACCGGAGGCAACGGGCCACGGGACAGUGUCAGUCGGGCAGUUUGACUGGGGCGGUCGCCUCCCAAAGAGUAACGGAGGCGCCCAAAGAUACCCUCAGCAUGGAUGGAAACCAUGCAUAGAGUGCAAAGGCAUAAGGGUGUCUGACUGCGAGACAUACAGGUCGAGCAGGGACGAAAGUCGGGCUUAGUGAUCCGGCGGAUCCGAAUGGAAGGGCCGUCGCUCAACGGAUAAAAGCUACCCUGGGGAUAACAGGCUGAUCUCCCCCAAGAGUUCACAUCGACGGGGAGGUUUGGCACCUCGAUGUCGGCUCAUCGCAUCCUGGAGCUGAAGUCGGUUCCAAGGGUUGGGCUGUUCGCCCAUUAAAGCGGUACGCGAGCUGGGUUCAGAACGUCGUGAGACAGUUCGGUCCCUAUCUGUCGUGGGCGCAGGAGGUUUGAGGAGAGCUGCCCCUAGUACGAGAGGACCGGGGUGGACGGACCGAUGGUGCACCAGUUGUCACGCCAGUGGCACAGCUGGGCAGCCAAGUCCGGACGGGAUAAGCGCUGAAGGCAUCUAAGCGUGAAGCCCCCUCCAAGAUGAGACCUCCCAUUGGCGACAAGUAAGGCCCCUCGAAGACGACGAGGUUGAUAGGCCGCGAGUGCAAGCGCAGCGAUGUGCUUAGCGGGGCGGUACUAAUAGGCCGAGGACUUGGCC
rnacentral:rRNA from 1 species